ensembl:snRNA U6 U6 spliceosomal RNA
GUGCUCGCUUUGGCAGCACAUAUACUAAAAUUGGAAUGAUACAGAGAAGAUUAUGGGACCUAAUUAAACUUAAAAGCUUCUGCACAACAAAGGAAACUAUAAGCAAGGUGAAAAGACAACCUUCA